rnacentral:rRNA from 1 species
UACAGGGGGGGCAAGCGUUGUUCGGAAUUACUGGGCGUAAAGGGCUCGUAGGUGGCCAACUAAGUCAGACGUGAAAUCCCUCAGCUUAACUGGGGAACUGCGUCUGAUACUGGAUGGCUUGAGUUUGGGAGAGGGAUGCGGAAUUCCAGGUGUAGCGGUGAAAUGCGUAGAGAUGCGGAGGAACACCGAUGGCGAAGGCAGCCCCCUGGGCCAAUACUGACGCUCAGGCACGAAAGCGUGGGGAGCAAACAGG